UACGGGGGGGGCAAGCGUUGCUCGGAAUUACUGGGCGUAAAGGGCUCGUAGGUGGCCAACUAAGUCAGACGUGAAAUCCCUCGGCUUAACCGGGGAACUGCGUCUGAUACUGGAUGGCUUGAGUUUGGGAGAGGGACGCGGAAUUCCAGGUGCAGCGGUGAAAUGCGUAGAUAUCUGGAGGAACACCGGUGGCGAAGGCGGCAUCCUGGACCAACACUGACACUGAGGAGCGAAAGCCAGGGGAGCAAACAGG
rnacentral:rRNA from 1 species